UACGUAGGUGGCAAGCGUUGUCCGGAUUUACUGGGCGUAAAGGAUGCGUAGGCGGACAUUUAAGUCAGAUGUGAAAUACCCGAGCUUAACUUGGGUGCUGCAUUUGAAACUGGGUGUCUAGAGUGCAGGAGAGGUAAGUGGAAUUCCUAGUGUAGCGGUGAAAUGCGUAGAGAUUAGGAAGAACACCAGUGGCGAAGGCGACUUACUGGACUGUAACUGACGCUGAGGCAUGAAAGCGUAGGGAGCAAACAGG
rnacentral:rRNA from 1 species